GACGGGGGUUCAAGCGUUGUUCGGAAUCAUUGGGCGUAAAGCGCGUGCAGGUGGCUUUGCAAGUCAGAUGUGAAAGCCCAGGGCUUAACCCUGGAAGUGCAUUUGAAACUGCUCAGCUUGAGUAUGGAAGAGGGUCGUGGAAUUCCAGGUGUAGUGGUGAAAUACGUAGAUAUCUGGAGGAACACCGGUGGCGAAGGCGGCGACCUGGUCCAAUACUGACACUCAUACGCGAAAGCGUGGGGAUCAAACAGG
rnacentral:rRNA from 1 species